AUAAUAAAAAAAGAAAUAAAAUAAAAAAAAAUAUUAAAAACAAAAAACCAAAAAGAUCGUUUUGGUGGUGCCUGGAGAAUGGACUGUAGAGGGGAAGGGUGGAAGCAGGGAGACCAGGUGUUAGAGGCCAUCACAGUAAUCCAGGUGAGAAAUGAUGUGGCUCGGGGUGAUGCACUGGCUUACUGAUGGAUUGAAUGUGGAGGUAAGGGAAAGAAAGACGGAAAUCAAAGAUGGUUUCUAAGUUUGGGGCUCGGGCAACCAAAUGGACAGUGAUUUUGUUUCCUGAAGUAAGAAGUCAAAACCGUGGAAAUGAAAGGUAUGAAGGGAGACUCAGGAAUGAGAGUGGCACUAUUCAGAGGACCCCAUGAAUUGUCACUGAGGAUGUUUCAUAUUGUAACCUGGGGUAGGGAUGGGGGUUGGAUGCUCUCUUAGCUUGGUAAGACCAGGGUUUUUAGCUCCUGAGAAGUAAGGUCCAAAUGAGGACCAGAUGGAAUCUUUAGAAGAGAAAUAUUCUUCAGAUGGUAAAGAGUGUUUGAAUUCAGAUUUUUCAGUAGAAACCUUGCAAAUACUAUAGCCCCUUAGUAUUUCUUGCCUCUUCCCUCUCACAGCUGAGACCACUGGAGACCAUGGGACCAGAGCUCACUGUCCCCCCUUGCCCUCCACUAUGUUUGCGUCCAGCACAAGAAUACAAGAAGGGAAGAAAGGGAUUUUUCUCUGCCCCGACAGUUUUGGCGAGCCAGCUAGGAGACCCACUGGCUGGAAAACUGCUUUCUCCCUGAGGCUGCUGCAGCUCAGAGAUCCUGGGGCAUCAGACACAGAAGCCGGCCCGAAGAACAAAAUUUUCUUGGAAUAUUGGUCUACUCCUGAUAAGAGAUUAUGAAAGAUUUUUCCUUACUUUGUGGUGUUUUAUCAGAACUACUUCCUGUGCCUUAUCUUUUUUUUUUUUAAUUUUUAUUUAUUUAUUUAUUUUCCCCCAAAGCCCCAGUAUAUAGUUGUAUGUCAUAGUUGCACAACCUUCUAGUUGCUGUAUGUGGGACGUGGCCUCAGCAUGGCCAGAGAAGCGGUGCGUCAGUGCACACCCG